rnacentral:misc_RNA from 1 species
CUACUACAGCGCCGCGGGGCCCAGGCCGGGAGCCGACCGGCACAGCAGGAACGAGCAUCCGGCACCCUUGUGCAUGUACCCUACAAUGACUGCCAGGCUUGGAUGGAUGUCCCCACUCCUGACUUGGUCUGCCCUGACACCACCUGGGCAAUGGGGAGAGUGUCUUCCUACGGCUGGGGCGUGUGGGAGUCCAGGCUUCACGCACUCUUUGCUGUUCAAUGUAG